CGCGGCCUAUCAGCUUGUUGGUGAGGUAAUGGCUCACCAAGGCACCGACGGGUAGCUGGUCUGAGAGGACGAUCAGCCACACUGGAACUGAGACACGGUCCAGACUCCUACGGGAGGCAGCAGUAGGGAAUCUUGCGCAAUGGGGGAAACCCUGACGCAGCAACGCCGCGUGUGGGAUGACGGCUUUCGGGUUGUAAACCACUUUCAGUGAUGACGAAAAUGACGGCAAUCACAGAAGAAGGUCCGGCCAACUACGUGCCAGCAGCCGCGGUAACACGUAGGGACCGAGCGUUGUCCGGAUUUAUUGGGCGUAAAGAGCUCGUAGGCGGUUCUGUAAGUCGGAUGUGAAAACUCAGGGCUCAACCCUGAGACGCCAUCUGAUACUGCAGUGACUAGAGUCCGGUAGGGGAAGAUGGAAUUCCUGGUGUAGCGGUGGAAUGCGCAGAUAUCAGGAGGAACACCAAUGGCGAAGGCAGUCUUCUGGGCCGGUACUGACGCUGAGGAGCGAAAGCAUGGGGAGCAAACAGGAUUAGAUACCCUGGUAGUCCAUGCCGUAAACGUUGGGCACUAGGUGUGGGGUCUUCUAACGGAUUCCGUGCCGUAGCUAACGCAUUAAGUGCCCCGCCUGGGGAGUACGG
rnacentral:rRNA from 1 species